GCAAAGGAUUGUGGGUGCACGCGAAACGAGAGCGCGCGGGAAAGCCUUGAAAGAAGAGGUGGUGCGUCGGCAAGCCGGGGUUUGAUUGUUCUCGUCAGUAAUAUGUAGUCGCUGGUUUUAUGUAUGCGUCACUGACGAAUUGUACAUCCAACUGACUACGAUUAAAAUAUGCCAGACUGCAGCUAAUGGUUCCCCUCUCCUGCUUGUCAAUGUGCAUCUGGAGUACAGUCAUCAAAACUCCCAUCUUGCCUGUCCUGAAUCGUGACUGAUAUCCCACAGCGAGUACUACCCUCCUGCAGCAAACACCUUACAGUUUCCCAGGGAUGUGUGUCCCCCGCCCCUUUCCCACAAUCUCCUUUUUAAAUAAAAUGUCGUGAACUGUCAC